AUAUGGCUUCUUCUUUGGCUGUGACCCUGAUGUGAUAGAGGAAGAUGCCUUGAAUGAGGAGUACUGUGUUCAGGUUUUAAGGAUUUUGAUCACCAAGGCAGAUACUGAAAUCAAGGUACUUGAAAAGGAUCUAUCGUCCCUUCAAAAUGAAUUGGCCUGCGUUGAGCAUGAGAAAUGGCCUGAAAUAUGUUGUAGUGCUUUGACCGAAAGAAUCAAUUGGCUGGAUGUUGCAAUUAGUGCUUUGAAGAAAGAUCUUGCUGAUGAAAUAGAGACAGGGCUGCUAUUACACAGUAAGCCUGCUGAGACACUUAAUGAGAUAGUGAAGGCUUUACAAAGGGAUCAUUGUCAAGAUGAAAACAGCCAGGUUGGAGAUUUAGGAUAUGCAUCAGAGGUUGGAAACUAUGCUGAUUAUUUAGGAGCUCCAAAUGAGGUGUUAUUUGUAAUUGAUGUUAAUAUCAUAAUUCCUUCACGUUCCAAGUAAACUUUUUUGUGAAUCUAAUUAUAGCUUUCUCAUGUAUAGGGAUCAGUUCAAGACAACAGUUGGUUUAGGAACUGAACCCUUUGUAUCAUUUGGUCUGUUUUCUAUUUUUUUUUUGGGAGAACUUUGAAAGGACCAUUGUUUAGUGGGUUAAACUCCAUAUCAUACAUAUUCAUCAUAGUUGACAAAUGCAUUAAACAUGUAUUCUAAAUCUAUAUACAUACCAUAGAAUGAUUAUAUCUUGGUAAAUUAUAUUUCAAAACAGUUUAAAUGUUAAUUAUGUCUUAUAUGUCUUAAAUAGUUAAAUUGUUCAUAUAGUUUAUCAAGUGGAUCAUUUUAAUAAUAAAAGAAUAACUCUUUUAGGCUAAUACUAUCAUUGUGCAGGUUGUGCUCAAGGGAGAAGUACUUGGGGUGGACUGCUUGAAAGAGAUUUACUUUUGAUCCCAA